GACGAACGCUGGCGGCGUGCCUAAUACAUGCAAGUAGAACGCACAGUUUAUACCGUAGCUUGCUACACCAUAGACUGUGAGUUGCGAACGGGUGAGUAACGCGUAGGUAACCUGCCUGGUAGCGGGGGAUAACUAUUGGAAACGAUAGCUAAUACCGCAUAAUAUUAAUUAUUGCAUGAUAAUUAAUUGAAAGGUGCAAUUGCACCACUACCAGAUGGACCUGCGUUGUAUUAGCUAGUAGGUGAGGUAACGGCUCACCUAGGCGACGAUACAUAGCCGACCUGAGAGGGUGAUCGGCCACACUGGGACUGAGACACGGCCCAGACUCCUACGGGAGGCAGCAGUAGGGAAUCUUCGGCAAUGGACGAAAGUCUGACCGAGCAACGCCGCGUGAGUGAAGAAGGUUUUCGGAUCGUAAAGCUCUGUUGUAAGAGAAGAACGGGUGUGAGCGUGGAAAGUUCACACUGUGACGGUAUCUUACCAGAAAGGGACGGCUAACUACGUG
rnacentral:rRNA from 1 species